rnacentral:lncRNA from 1 species
AAAGUAGCUCCUUAUCUUAAUCUUCAGUACAUCGUAGCCCAUCCUGCCCUGUAGCGGGAGGCCAUGUGUCCUGAGUUAUGUUCGAAAUGGCGUGAGGCUAGGUUGGGCCGAGUCAUGUUCGAAGUGGCGUGAGGCCAGAUGGGCCGAGUCACAAUCGAGGCCCGUGGGCGCUGUUUCUGUAUGCUUUAAAUGAAUUGGUUGCGUAUUUCUAACAGCUCGAGCUUUUGAGAUUAAUGGUUAGCGCCAAGGAUCCGACAUCUAGAAUAUACUCUUUGCAUUGAGGACCAUUUCGAAUCGACUAUCCUAUCUUUUAAUUUUUUUUCAUUCGAGUUUCGGUCAACGAUAUUUUAACUUCAAAAUUUAAAUGUAUCGUUUAAUAUUUAUAAGUUUGUAUUGAAAAAACUACUUUUUCUAAAAACCACACUCAGUUAAAAAACUAUUUUUUGAAAUAUUUUGGAAAAACUAAAUAUUCUCUUAGCUUCCUCUCCAGUGAUUUUUCUUUUUAUAUCCUAAUAAGAAUAUCGUGUUAAGCGGAGUAUUGUUAGUACACCAUUUUAGUUAAUGAUAGAUUUUACAGUAAAAUAAAAAUAAUAAAUUAUAUAAUAGCAAGAUAUUUUUUUAAAAAAAUUACAGAAUGAUAAAAUAAAAAUACAUUGAUUAAUAAGUUUAUGUUCGAAAUGGCGUGAGGCUAGGUUGGGCCGAGUCAUGUUCGAAGUGGCGUGAGGCCAGAUGGGCCGAGUCACAAUCGAGGCCCGUGGGCGCUGUUUCUGUAUGCUUUAAAUGAAUUGGUUGCGUAUUUCUAACAGCUCGAGCUUUUGAGAUUAAUGGUUAGCGCCAAGGAUCCGACAUCUAGAAUAUACUCUUUGCAUUGAGGACCAUUUCGAAUCGACUAUCCUAUCUUUUAAUUUUUUUUCAUUCGAGUUUCGGUCAACGAUAUUUUAACUUCAAAAUUUAAAUGUAUCGUUUAAUAUUUAUAAGUUUGUAUUGAAAAAACUACUUUUUCUAAAAACCACACUCAGUUAAAAAACUAUUUUUU